rnacentral:rRNA from 1 species
UGGGGAAUAUUGCACAAUGGAGGGAACUCUGAUGCAGCGACGCCGCGUGAGUGAUGAAGGAAUUCGUUUCGUAAAACUCUGUUCUAUGGGAAGAAAAGGACUGUACCAUAGGAGAAAGCUCCGGCUAAAUACGUGCCAGCAGCCGCGGUAAUACGUAUGGAGCGAGCGUUGUACGGAAUUAUUGGGCGUAAAGGGUGCGCAGGCGGCGUUACAAGUUGGAUGAGAAAUAUUGUGGCUCAACCACAAACGUGCAUCCAAAACUGCAAAGCUUGAGUUAAGGGGAGGUAAGUGGAAUUCCUGGUGUAGCGGUGGAAUACGUAGAUAUCAGGAGGAAUACCGGUGGCGAAGGCGACUUACUGGACUUAAACUGACGCUCAGGCACGAAAGCGUGGGGAGCAAACAGG